AGUGAACGCUGGCGGCAGGCCUAAUACAUGCAAGUCGAACGGCAGCACGGCAGAGCUUGCUCUGUGGGUGGCGAGUGGCGGACGGGUGAGUAAUACAUCGGAACGUGCCCGAGAGUGGGGGAUAACGCAGCGAAAGCUGUGCUAAUACCGCAUACGAUCUACGGAUGAAAGCAGGGGACCGCAAGGCCUUGCGCUAACAGAGCGGCCGAUGGCAGAUUAGGUAGUUGGUGGGAUAAAAGCUUACCAAGCCGACGAUCUGUAGCUGGUCUGAGAGGACGACCAGCCACACUGGGACUGAGACACGGCCCAGACUCCUACGGGAGGCAGCAGUGGGGAAUUUUGGACAAUGGGCGCAAGCCUGAUCCAGCAAUGCCGCGUGCAGGAUGAAGGCCUUCGGGUUGUAAACUGCUUUUGUACGGAACGAAAAAGCUCUGGUUAAUACCUGGGGCCCAUGACGGUACCGUAAGAAUAAGCACCGGCUAACUACGUG
rnacentral:rRNA from 1 species